UUUAGUUCCACCCCGGGGCUAACAAUAAAUUCCUUUUUUAAUGCAUCUACCAGGAACAUCGAUCAGAAACAGCACAUCAGGAGCACAGAGCAGGACACAUUUAAUGAUGCUUUGUAAGGCCAAUUUUCCCAAAGAAUCCGUGGACCUGGCCAGAUUUUCCCAAUUAUUUGUGCCCAAACUCACGGGAGUGUUUUGCUUCUGAAAACUCACCACCUGCCCACGCACAGCUUAAGAGAAUUUCACCAGGAGCAAAGGUCAAACCAGGAGUUCACAGAAACCAAAAUAUCCCAUGGAAAAUAAAUGACUCACCUCUGUGUUGUCAUGGUGGAGCCUUUUGUUGGAUGGAGUACACCUGGGAAAACAACAGGGAGAGGAUCAGGAAUAGUCCAGAGUCUAGAAAAUAUGACCUGCAGGGAAGAUGGAAAGAAGGUGAUAAUUUUUAAAGACAGACCUAAAGAUACAAUAAGAGUUGUAACAUGAUUUUCCUGCUACAAAGAGGUACUAAAGAACCUGUUACUUUGCUGAAGGAAAAAAAAAGAAGAAACAAGCCAAGAAUUAAGGAAAGAGUUAAGGAAGAGUUAAGGUUCCCAGAAGAUGCCAUGACUGUGUCCCAAAUCCAAACCAGCAAAGACUAAGUGCCAGUCUCCUUCAGCCAGCGAGAAAUGAAUGUUCCAGAGUAACACAUUCAGCAACACCCCAAAAGUUUAUGCUGCCACCUUCACAACUCAUAUCCCAGGUAACCUCAGGUACUUGUCUUGGGGAUUAAUGUUUAGAAAGCAACAGGCUUCUACCAAAAUAUUUUCACAGAGUAAAGUUUAAUUAGGUGUCAUUCAAAAACCUCAGACUCUUCUCUAUUAGGCAUUAACUCAGGAGGAAUUUCUCCCUGGAAAGGGUGGUCAGGCACUGG